rnacentral:rRNA from 1 species
GUGAACGUCGGCGGCGUGGAUUAGGCAUGCAAGUCGAGCGAUCGUAGCAAUACGGGAGCGGCAAACGGGGUAGGAAUACAUCGGAACGUACCCUUUGGUUGGGAAUAGCGUUGGGAAACUGACGGUAAUACCCAAUAAAGUCGAGAGACCAAAGGUUUACUGCCGGAGGAGCGGCCGAUGCGAUAUUAGGUAGUUGGUGGGGUAAUGGCCUACCAAGCCUGAGAUGUCUAGGGGGUGUGAGAGCAUGGCCCCCACCACUGGGACUGAGAGACUGCCCAGACACCUACGGGUGGCUGCAGUCGAGGAUCUUCGUCAAUGGGCGAAAGCCUGAACGAGCGACGCCGCGUGCGGGAUGAAGGCCCUUGGGUUGUAAACCGCUGUCAGGGGGGAUGAAACCGUAAGGUUGACAGAGCCCCAGAGGAAGCACGGGCUAAGUUCGUGCCAGCAGCCGCGGUAAUACGAACUGUGCGAACGUUACUCGGAAUCACUGGGCUUACAGGGUGCGUAGGUGGCUUGAUAAGCAGGGUGUGAAAUCCCUCGGCUCAACCGAGGAACUGCGCUCUGAACUGUCGAGCUAGAGUAUGCUAGAGGUGAAUGGAACAUCCAGUGGAGCGGUGAAAUGUGUUGAUAUUGGAUGGAACACCAGAGGCGAAGGCGAUUCACUGGGGCAUAACUGACACUGAGGCACGAAAGCCAGGGGAGCAAACGGGAUUAGAUACCCCGGUAGUCCUGGCCGUAAACGAUGAGAACUGAGCGGGGGGUGGCUUG